rnacentral:rRNA from 1 species
UUAGUUGCCAUCAUUAAGUUGGGCACUCUAAACAGACUGCCGGUGACAAACCGGAGGAAGGUGGGGAUGACGUCAAGUCAGCAUGCCCCUUACGUCCUGGGCUACACACGUACUACAAUGGUAGGGACAGAGGGCAGCCAACCCGCGAGGGCGAGCUAAUCCCGUAAACCCUGCCUCAGUUCAGAUUGCAGGCUGCAACUCGCCUGCAUGAAGGCGGAAUCGCUAGUAAUCGCGGAUCAGCAUGCCGCGGUGAAUACGUUCCCGGGCCUUGUACACACCGCCCGUCACACCACGAGAGUUUGUAACACCCGAAGUCGGUGGGGUAACCUUUUGGAGCCAGCCGCCUAAGGUGGGACAGAUGAUUGGGGUGAAGUCGAAACAAGGUAGCCGUAUCGGAAGGUGCGGCUGGAUCACCUCCUUUCUGCGUCGACGCGGCCG